CCUACGGGAGGCUGCAGUGGGGAAUAUUGGACAAUGGGGGCAACCCUGAUCCAGCCAUGCCGCGUGUGUGAAGAAGGCCCUCGGGUUGUAAAGCACUUUCAGUGAGGAAGAACACCUGGUGGUUAAUACCCAUCAGGAAAGACAUCACUCACAGAAGAAGCACCGGCUAACUCCGUGCCAGCAGCCGCGGUAAUACGGAGGGUGCGAGCGUUAAUCGGAAUUACUGGGCGUAAAGCGCGCGUAGGUGGCUUGAUAAGCCGGUUGUGAAAGCCCCGGGCUCAACCUGGGAACGGCAUCCGGAACUGUCAAGCUAGAGUGCAGGAGAGGAAGGUAGAAUUCCCGGUGUAGCGGUGAAAUGCGUAGAGAUCGGGAGGAAUACCAGUGGCGAAGGCGGCCUUCUGGACUGACACUGACACUGAGGUGCGAAAGCGUGGGUAGCAAACAGGAUUAGAUACCCUUGUAGUC
rnacentral:rRNA from 1 species